AAAUGAAAGAUAAACAAAUUUUUUGUGUAUGCCGUCUAUUGGUGGAAAAUAAAAUUGCAAGAAAGUUUUCAUUUUUCAUCCUCUACUUUUAAUUUAGACAAAAUAAUUAAUAGAAUUCAAUUUACUUGAAAGCCAAGUUAUAUGAUGACUUGAAAGUCAAGUUAUAUGAUGAAUAGUUGUAAUGGAAACUGACAGUGUCAAAAAACAAACAUUUGUCCCCAAGAACAAGAGAAAAUAAGCCAAACAUUGCCAACCUCUUUCCCCACACAGUGAGUAUUAUAACUAUUACAGAACCUUGUUCUUUGGAUGAUUUCAAGUACGGUGUAGAAAUCUGGUAUUAUGACAACACCAACACCAGCCACAACAACCGUACCUGAAAUGAUGCUGGUGUUGAGAUUGACCUUGGAAAAUAUGACGUAUUUCCAAGAGUUUGUGUUGAGCGCCGGUGUUGAAUGUCAUCUGCUGAACCGAGGAUCACAGCUGAUGUUGACGAUCUACAAGUACGAUUCUGGAAGAGUGCUGUGGAUCCCAGCAGUCAGGCUACCAGUUCUGUGCCAUUUCAUGUAAUAACAUAGUCAUAAGGAAAAGGAAUGUGGGGAUGUGAUGUCUAUGGACAAUUACACGCAAUAGAUCCUGCUCGAAAUUUGACGGAAUAAAGCCAUAUUUUG